UCAGAUAUUAACCAAAUUCUAUAAGUACCUCCUUUAGGCCAAAAUAAGACUUUGUGCCAAAUUUCAACAAAUUAUCUUCAAAAUUGCGACCUGUACCGUGCUAGUUUUUUGGCUUUUGUAUGAUAUAGACCAUAAAAUGCAAAAAAUAUUGAUAUAGACCCUAAAACAAGGUCUUUUGUUUUCUUUAAAAAUUUAAUAGCUUUUGUUUAAUUGUACAUUAAGGUAUAAAAACUAACAGUUUUGUUUAAAAUAUAUGUACCAAAAUCAAUGGUGAAAAUUUAAAAAAUAUGUGUUGUGUAGGUUUUGAGAAAAUUUCGUGUAAAUUUUCUUUUGCGUUUUUCUCAAUAUAGAGGUUUUGGCGUAUGGAGCAAAACAAUAAUAUACUGACGAUAUAUAUGUGUUGUUUCUAGAUACCGUGCGAGUACUUUGAGUAAAAAUUUUACUUGCAUUUUGUUUUUGUUACAAUAACAAAAUACAAAUAAAUUUUUUGCUCAAAUUACUCGCAUGGUUUCUAGAAAUAACACAAUAACUUAACUACAAUUGAACUAUAACUGAACUGGAACUGAACUAAAAUGGACUAGAACUAAACCUUCACUGUAGUACAGUAACUGUACAUAUAAUUCGUUUGAAUUGAUGUUUCUGCUGCAAAUAUUAAGGACAAGAUUUUUAAAUUGUUUAACUGAUUGCUGUUGGUAUACAAUUUGUGUAUGUGACUUAAGAUCCAAUUACUUGACUUCGGAUAUUUAUUAA